GCAGAAAUCCUACGUGCAGGGCUCUUGGAAGGAUGUUGAGGUGAUUUGUCAAGGUUUUAAUAGGCUGAUUGUUGCUGUUUUUGCGGUGACCGUGGGAACAGAGCUAAUAAUGAGGGCAGGGAGAUGGCGCUCUGUUUUAGGUUGGAUGGAAAUGGUACAAAAUGACCAAGUGAGAUUCUGAGGAGCACAGCCAUGAAACAAGAUGAGAUGGAAGUUCAUACUUUAUGUCCACCGAAGAGGAUCUGGGAUUUGGAUUCCUGACUCCUCACUCUGAAGACAGGCUCUAGGGGAAAUUUCUAGCUGCCCUCCUAGAGGAGAAAGAAACAAUGAGACAUACCACCAACUCUUAAAAGUUUUACCCGGAAAUGGCCCUGGCCUCCUCACAUCGCCACAGGGAUCCUUCUCGAAUCCACAUUGUCAUGAUGGAUAUUUCCUGCCCAGAGCCUGUGGAUUUCUGCCUCGAUUUGAGUGAAAGUUGAAGUUUUUCUAGGGUCUCACACAAUCCAUGCCCUACCUACCCUGGUAUCUCUGCAGCCUUCACCAUUGCUUUCAUUUCCGGUCACUUUGUGCCAGACACUAACCAUGCUAUGCUUUGUCUGCUCCGCCUUUGAGAUACAGUUAAAAAACGUCUAUGCUAUUGUUCUAUUUGUUUUUCCCAAGGACUUAUUUUGUUCUCAUGUUAUUCA